rnacentral:rRNA from 1 species
AGUGAACGCUGGCGGCAGGCCUAACACAUGCAAGUCGAACGGCAACACAGUACGACUUUCUGCUUACGUGUGGCGAGUGGCGGGCGGGUGAGGUGUACAGCGGACUGUACGUUGUCGGGGGGUAUCACGUAGGAAAAGUUACUCUAACCGCGCAUCCUCCCUACGGGAGAAAGCAGGGGAUCUUGGGCCCUUGCCCUAGGGAAUGAGCCGAUGUGGGAUUAGCUAGUUGGCGGGGUAAAGGCCCACCAAGGCGACGAUCCGUAGCUGGUCUGAGAGGAUGAUCAGCCACACUGGAACUGAGACACGGUCCAGACUCCUACGGGAGGCAGCAGUGGGGAAUAUUGGACAAUGGGCGCAAGCCUGAUCCAGCCAUACCGCGUGGAUGAAGAAGGCCUUCGGGUUGUAAAGCACUUUUGUUGGGGAAGAAAAGCAGCAGGUUAAUACCCCGCCGUUCUGACGGUACCCAAAGAAGAAGCACCGGCUAACUUCGUG